rnacentral:rRNA from 1 species
UACGUAGGGUGCAAGCGUUAAUCGGAAUUACUGGGCGUAAAGCGUGCGCAGGCGGUGAUGUAAGACAGUUGUGAAAUCCCCGGGCUCAACCUGGGAACUGCAUCUGUGACUGCAUCGCUGGAGUACGGUAGAGGGGGAUGGAAUUCCGCGUGUAGCAGUGAAAUGCGUAGAUAUGCGGAGGAACACCGAUGGCGAAGGCAAUCCCCUGGACCUGUACUGACGCUCAUGCACGAAAGCGUGGGGAGCAACAGG